rnacentral:lncRNA from 1 species
UACUGGCUGGGCGCGGUGGCUCACGCCUGUAAUCCCAGCACUUUGGGAGUGAGGCCAAGGUGGGUGGAUCAUUUGAGGUCAGCAGUUGGAGACCAGUCUGGCCAACAUAGUGAAACCGCGUCUCUACUAAAAAUACAAAAAUUUGCCAGGAGCCUGAGGCAGGACAAUCGCUUGAACCCGGGAGGUGCAGAUUGCAGAGAGCCGAGAUCGCGCCACUGCACUCCAGCCUGGGCGACAGAGUGAGUCUCUGUCUCAAAAAAAAAAAAAAAAAGUACUCAUAUCUCUUUUUCUGUAACUUUUAAAAUCCACUCCCAAAUACGUCUUGGGGGAACUUCCUAUGUCAGUAUAGCAUGGUAGUCCAUAACUGGAUUCUUCAAUAACAGUAAAUCUAGCUAUUUCCCCCAGCGGAAUGGGAAUUGUGUCCAACAUUUCAAACAUCUGGAAAAGUAUCAUCUAUACGCAGUGUAAUGUUUACAGCGAAUUCUGCCACUGCUCGCUGAUUUUAAACACAUUACCCUGUGUCUCAGUUUUUUAUUUGUAAAUGAUAUUUUACCACCUAAUUUACAGGGCUGUAGUGAGGAUUACAUCGAUUGACAUAUUUAUGGCAAGCUCUCAGAGAGUCUUGUACCUAAUACCAUUAUUUGCUCUGAUCCUUUAGUUUAGGCUCCUAGGAGACUUGAUUCUGGCUGACGUGCUGCGACUGUCAUCUUUCAGAUCAGAGUAACUCUGAGUCUGGUGGGAGUGUCUUCCCCCGACACCCCGUAUACCUCCGCUUUAAGAUGAGAGAAUCUUCUGUCGGUGCUAGCGUUCAGCGGCUAACGGAGGAGGCUUGACUCAACCUGCCGGACACUAAAGGACAUCACUCUGAGCCUGAGGGAGGGGCUCUCCUUUGGUCUCCCUCUUUUGUCCAGCCUUGCCCCAGGAUAUUUUUCUAAGCUGAGUUAGCCACUAGGCACUCCACAUCGCUGCCCGCAUCACCACGCUGCGGCAUCUGCUGUUGCAUCUGCGAUCCACAAGGCCUACACCAUUCGCCAUCGCACCUGGCUGUUUGUUGCAGAUAUUUCUCAGGUCUCUUUUACGCCCUGCUACACUCCUCACCUGAUAUCGCAAGGACUCUUUUUUUUUUUUUUUUGAGACGGAGUCUCACUCUGUCACCCAGCCUGGAGUGCAGUGGCAGAAUUUCAGCUCACUGCAACCUCCACCUCCCGGGUUCAAGUGAGUCUCCUGCCUCAGCCUUCUGAGUAUCUGGAACUACAGGUGUGUGCCAUCAUGCCUGGCUAAUGUUUACAUUUUUAGUAUAGAUGGGGUUUCACCAUGUUGGUCAAGCUGGUCUUGAACUCCUGACCUCAGGUGAUUCACACACCUCGGCCUCUCAGAGUGCUGCGAUUACAGGUGCGAGCCACCGCACCCAGCCAAGGACUCUUAAGUGUAACUGAUCCACCCUACUUUUCUCCCUGGCAUGAACGACUGUGCCCAGCCUUGUUUUUGUGUUUUAGCCAUUCCUAUUUAUUUAUUUAUUUAUUUAUUUAUUUUGAGACAGAUUCUCACUCUGUCAUCCAGGCUGGAGUGCAGUGACAUGAUCUUCACUUACUGCAACCUCUGCCUCCCGGGUUCAAGUGAUUCUCCUGCCUUAGCCUCCAGAGUAGCUGGGACUACAGGUGCGCACCACCAUGCCCGACUAAUUUUUUUUUUUUUAGUUUUUAGUAGAGAUGGGGUUUCACCACUUUGGCCACGCUGGUCUGGAUCUCCUGACCUUCUG